rnacentral:rRNA from 1 species
UACGUAGGCAGCAAGCGUUGUUCGGAGUUACUGGGCGUAAAGCGUGCGCAGGCGGCUUCUCAAGUCAGGGGUGAAAGCCCAGAGCUCAACUCUGGAAUUGCCUUUGAGACUGAGUGGCUUGAGUACGAGAGAGGUGAGUGGAGUUCCCAGUGUAGAGGUGAAAUUCGUAGAUAUCGGGAGGAACACCUGUGGCGAAAGCGGCUCACUGGACCACAACUGACGCUGAGGCGCGAAAGCUAGGGGAGCAAACAGG